rnacentral:rRNA from 1 species
AAAUAGAUACCCUGGUAGUCCACGCCGUAAACGUUGGGCGCUAGGUGUGGGGAACCUUCCACGUUCUCCGUGCCGCAGCUAACGCAUUAAGCGCCCCGCCUGGGGAGUACGGCCGCAAGGCUAAAACUCAAAGGAAUUGACGGGGGCCCGCACAAGCGGCGGAGCAUGUGGCUUAAUUCGACGCAACGCGAAGAACCUUACCAAGGCUUGACAUAUGGCGAAAACUGGCAGAGAUGUCAGGUCCGCAAGGGCGCCAAACAGGUGGUGCAUGGUUGUCGUCAGCUCGUGUCGUGAGAUGUUGGGUUAAGUCCCGCAACGAGCGCAACCCUUGUUCUAUGUUGCCAGCGAGUAAUGUCGGGGACUCAUAGGAGACUGCCGGGGUCAACUCGGAGGAAGGUGGGGAUGACGUCAAAUCAUCAUGCCCCUUAUGUCUUGGGCUGCACACAUGCUACAAUGGCCGGUACAAAGGGCUGCGAAACCGCAAGGUAGAGCGAAUCCCAAAAAGCCGGUCUCAGUUCGGAUUGGGGUCUGCAACUCGA